CAAUAAGCGGAGGAAAAGAAACUAACAAGGAUUCCCCUAGUAACUGCGAGUGAAGCGGGAAAAGCUCAAAUUUAAAAUCUGUCAGUCUUUGGCUGUCCGAGUUGUAAUCUAGAGAAGUGUUAUCCGCGCUGGACCGUGUACAAGUCUCCUGGAAUGGAGCGUCAUAGAGGGUGAGAAUCCCGUCUUUGACACGGACUGCCAGGGCUUUGUGAUGCACUCUCAAAGAGUCGAGUUGUUUGGGAAUGCAGCUCAAAAUGGGUGGUAAAUUCCAUCUAAAGCUAAAUAUUGGCGAGAGACCGAUAGCGAACAAGUACCGUGAGGGAAAGAUGAAAAGAACUUUGGAAAGAGAGUUAAACAGUACGUGAAAUUGCUGAAAGGGAAACGCUUGAAGUCAGUCGCGUUGUCCAGGGAUCAACCUCGCUUUUGCUUGGUGUACUUUCUGGUUGACGGGUCAGCAUCAAUUUUGACUAUUGGAAAAAGAUUGAGGGAAUGUGGCAUCUUCGGAUGUGUUAUAGCCCUUGGUUGCAUACAAUGGUUGGGAUUGAGGAACUCAGCACGCCGCAAGGCCGGGUUUUUAACCACGUACGUGCUUAGGAUGCUGGCAUAAUGGCUUUAAUCGACCCGUCUUGAAACACGGACCAAGGAGUCUAACAUGCCUGCGAGUGUUUGGGUGGAAAACCCGAGCGCGUAAUGAAAGUGAAAGUUGAGAUCCUUGUCAUGGGGAGCAUCGACGCCCGGACCAGACCUUUUGUGACGGUUCCGCGGUAGAGCAUGUAUGUUGGGACCCGAAAGAUGGUGAACUAUGCCUGAAUAGGGUGAAGCCAGAGGAAACUCUGGUGGAGGCUCGUAGCGAUUCUGACGUGCAAAUCGAUCGUCAAAUUUGGGUAUAGGGGCGAAAGACUAAUCGA
rnacentral:rRNA from 1 species